UACAGAGGGUGCGAGCGUUGUCCGGAUUCAUUGGGCGUAAAGAGCGUGUAGGCGGCCAGGUAGGUCUGCUGUGAAAACUCGAGGCUCAACCUCGAGACGCCGGUGGAAACCAUCAGGCUAGAGUCCGGAAGAGGAGAGUGGAAUUCCUGGUGUAGCGGUGAAAUGCGCAGAUAUCAGGAAGAACACCCGUGGCUAAGGCGGCUCUCUAGUACGGUACUGACGCUGAGACGCGAAAGCGUGGGGAGCGAACAGG
rnacentral:rRNA from 1 species